CAGCAGCCACGGGAAUACGUAGGGUGCAAGCGUUGUCCGGAAUUAUUGGGCGUAAAGAGCUCGUAGGCGGUUUGUCGCGUCUGCUGUGAAAACGCGAGGCUCAACCUCGCGCCUGCAGUGGGUACGGGCAGACUAGAGUGUGGUAGGGGAGAUUGGAAUUCCUGGUGUAGCGGUGGAAUGCGCAGAUAUCAGGAGGAACACCGAUGGCGAAGGCAGAUCUCUGGGCCAUUACUGACGCUGAGGAGCGAAAGCGUGGGGAGCGAACAGGAUUAGAUACCCCGGUAGUCCCUGUCUCUUAUAC
rnacentral:rRNA from 1 species